UAAAGAGUUCUAUAACUCCCAAACCCAUGUGAACAUACCUAACGUUGCCUCGGCAGGUCGCACCUACCUUGUAGCACCCUACCCUGUAGGGCCUACCCGGGAGGUGCGGGUAAGCCUGCCGGCGGCCCACCAAACUCUGUUUGAUAUUGAAUUCUGAACCUAUAACUAAAUAAGUUAAAACUUUCAACAACGGAUCUCUUGGUUCUGGCAUCGAUGAAGAACGCAGCGAAAUGCGAUAAGUAAUGUGAAUUGCAGAAUUCAGUGAAUCAUCGAAUCUUUGAACGCAUAUUGCGCCCAUUAGUAUUCUAGUGGGCAGGACCGUUCGAGCGUCAUUUCAACCCUUAAGCCUUCGUUGCUUAGUGUUGGGAGCCUACGGCAACGUAGCUCCUCAAAGUUAGUGGCGGAGUUGGUUCACACUCUAGACGUAGUAAUUUUUUAUCUCGCCUAUUAGUUGGACUAAUCCCCUGCCGUAAAACCCCCAAUUUAUAUCAAGGUUGACCUCGAAUCGGUUCAGACAAACUCGCUAAAUUGAAGCAUCUUAGUCAGCGAAGGAAAAGAAACCAACAGGGAUUGCCCUAGUAACGGCGAGUGAAGCGGCAACAGCUCAAAUUUGAAAUCUGGCCCUCGGGUCCGAGUUGUAAUUU
rnacentral:rRNA from 1 species